rnacentral:rRNA from 1 species
AGCUCAGCUGUCUGUUGGAAUAGGCAGUUCAAGCUUGUAGCCGUGCUCGGUAGGCAAAUCCGCCGAGCUUAGGUGAGGAGUGAUAACGAGGGUGCAUGCACCUGAAGUGAGUGAUACCCUGCUUCCAGGAAAAGCCACUAAGCUUCAGCUAUUGAGUGACCGUACCGCAAACCGACACUGGUGCGCGAGAUGAGUAUUCUAAGGCGCUUGAGAGAACUGCGGAGAAGGAACUCGGCAAAUUGAUACCGUAACUUCGGGAGAAGGUAUGCCGCAAGUAGGUGAACUUGUACAAAGGGAGCCCAAAGCGGUUGCAAUAAAUCGGUGGCUGCGACUGUUUAAUAAAAACACAGCACUCUGCAAACACGAAAGUGGACGUAUAGGGUGUGACGCCUGCCCGGUGCUGGAAGAUUAAUUGAUGGGGUGCAAGCUCUUGAUCGAAGUCCCAGUAAACGGCGGCCGUAACAAUAACGGUCCUAAGGUAGCGAAAUUCCUUGUCGGGUAAGUUCCGA